GAAGAACAUGAGUCCUGAUGUGAUGGCAAACAUGAGUGAGCAGUUUGGCAUGAAGCUGUCGAAGGAGGAUGCCGCCAAAGCUCAACAAGCUAUGUCUUCAUUAUCUCCAGAAGAUUUAGACAGAAUGGUGAGAAGCUAAUUAAAAAAAAAACUCUCCUCUGAGCUGUGUGCAGACAAUGGGCAUAUAUUUUACUUCCGAUUAGCUGUCAGAGUUCAGUUAAGACUUCUUAGAUUAUUAACCUCUGCUUGCUUUGCAUUCAGAUGAAAUGGAUGGACAGAGCACAGCAGGGAGUAGAAGUAGCAAAGAAGACGAAGAACUGGCUCCUAGGCAGGAAAGGCCUGAUCCUUGCUAUUGUCAUGCUGAUCUUGGCCUUCAUCCUACAGCGCCUUGGAUUCAUCGGUAGGUAGGUGAUGGCCUAAACAUCGCAUAUGAUGCCCUGUCGAGCAGUGCUCCGGCAACAAAUAACUAUUCGGCAGCUACAUUAUGCUCGUUUUCCCUGGCUAGAAGUGAUAUGGUGGGCGGAUGACAAUGUGGAAGCACCGUGGGAAGAGUCGAGAACUUUUUGUACCAUUGUUUAUUCUUUCGGCAUAUGUGUUUAUAAAUUGUACUAUUAUUAGAAGUAAAUGGUCCAGUAUUGCCAUUUGGACAGUAGGCUGACUUGUAAUGUUACGAAUGUCCUAUGUUAUUUCGCACCAAAGAAUUUCGUGUCCAUAUUCACUAUCCAGGCCAGAAGUUGUUAGACGUGGACGCCAUUUUGGGUGGCAAUUUUAAAAAUCGUGUCUCGCACGUUUGCAAAGGUAUAACUUUUGACCAAAUACCCGUCUACCUGUAAGGAGGUUGGUUUUGUAUAAGUUCUUUUGACCCUAAACCCUAUCUAUAUUUUGCAAAUGGGGUGUAGUUCUAUCUGCAAAGGUUUAACUUUGACCGGAUAUGUGUCAACCUGUAAGGAGGUUAGUUCAUUUUACAAGUUAUUUUGCAAAUGCUGUGUAUCUCUAUUCGAAAAUAAAAAUAGGAUCAGCAUUUAAAAAUAAUAAUAGGAUCGGAUCUUAUUGUUCUCUACUUGUCCGGAUAAAAAAUAGGGGGAUCGACAUGAUCAUGGUAUGUUUGAUCACGCACAUGAUAGUGAUGAGAAUUGAAAAACAAAUAGGAGGAUAAAAAAUAGGGGGAUCGACAUGAUCAUGGUAUGUUUGAUCACACACAUGAUAGUGAUGAGAAUUGAAAAACAAACAGGGGGAUCGACAUGAUCAUGGUAUGUUUGAUCAUGCACAUGAUAGUGAUGAGAAUUGAAAAACAAAUAGGGGGAUCGACAUGAUCAGGCCAGAAGUUGUUAGACGUGGACGCCAUUUUGGGUGGCAAUUUAAAAAUUCGUGUCUCGCACGUUUGCAAAGGUAUAACUUUUGACCAAAUACCCGUCUACCUGUAAGGAGGUUGGUUUUGUAUAAGUUCUUUUGACCCUAAACCCUAUCUAUAUUUUGCAAAUGGGGUGUAGUUCUAUCUGCAAAGGUUUAACUUUGACCGGAUAUGUGUCAACCUGUAAGGAGGUUAGUUCAUUUUACAAGUUAUUUUGCAAAUGCUGUGUAUCUCUAUUCGAAAAUAAAAAUAGGAUCAACAUUAAAAAUAAUAAUAGGAUCGGAUCUUAUUGUUCUCUACUUGUCCGGAUAAAAAAUAGGGGGAUCGACAUGAUCAUGGUAUGUUUAAUCACGCACAUGAUAGUGAUGAGAAUUGAAAAACAAAUAGGAGGAUAAAAAAAUAGGGGGAUCGACAUGAUCAUGGUAUGUUUGAUCACACACAUGAUAGUGAUGAGAAUUGAAAAACAAAUAGGGGGAUCGACAUGAUCAUGGUAUGUUUGAUCACGCACAUGAUAGUGAUGAGAAUUGAAAAACAAAUAGGGGGAUCGACAUGAUCAUGGCAUGUUUGAUCACGCACAUGAUAGUGAUGAGAAUUGAAAAACAAAUAGGGAGAUCGAAUUGCUCUACCACUGAGCUAUGGAGCCAUUGUUGAAACGAAAGUUCUUAAAUUCAUAAUAUUCAGGUAUGGCUGAACUUCACGAGUGCUGGCAAAUGUCUCGUUUAUUUAAAGAGUUCCAUUUAUUAAACCAGAUCAGGUAAUUCUAACGACAUAAGUUUACAUUCUCGUCAGUUCGAGAAUGCAACCGUACUGUCGUUCUAGGACCUUGUGCUAGCCAACGGUAUUGCUAUGUGGGAUUUGCCGGGGCGGGUAAAACCGCUUGGUUCUGGACCUUGGUUUAUGGUGGGUGAUUUUCAUAAGAAAUUUCUUAAGCUCAGGAAUAAAUUUUGUGCGGUACUUCCUAAUUGGAACUUGUUUGAUUUGGGUUUUGUGGGUGUUGCUUGGAUGUACAAUAAUAAACAAGAGAAAGGAGGAAUAUGAAGGUUUGACUGGAUCGUGAUGUGGCGUGUCCUAUUUGGUUUUCCCACUUCCAAACUGUCAGGUCUCGCACAUUAUCAAUUCAAGGUCGGACCAGCCUGUUAUUGAUCCAGUUGUUAUGUAAUCCUCAUUUCGAGCAUACUAUAAAAAAAUUGACAUAUGGCUUUUAUUGGAAGAGGGAAGGUACGGUGUUGGACCGUAAGAUUAAAAAUUGUUAGACCAAUGGUGUGGUUUGUUAGACCAAUGAAGUGGUUAUCCGUGACUUGGGUGAUUUGAUGAUGUGGUUAUAAAUCUUAUUAGUAUUGAUGAUGACCUCUCUCCAUUGCCGGAGCCACAUGCAUAUUGGUUUUGUUGCACAAAAAUUAAAUUAGGCCAGAAAGAGAGUGGAUGCCUUAUAUAAAAGGAAAGCCCAGUCAAUCAUGAAAGGAAUAAAAGUUUGGGUGAAAUGGAUGAGUUGCUACUUUUUUACGAGGAAAACUUUCAGUCCAUUCAUCAACUGUCAUGGCAAUACAAAAAACAUCAAAAGUAACAAAAAUUACAUCCAGGUUUGUAGACCACCUAGCAACGACUAUAAUCACUGGAGCGAGCCGAAGGCGCAUCACCGUCAUGGCCCUUCCCCUCACCAGUGUUGGGAAACGUAGUAGAAAACAAACAAAAAAAAAUUGCUCUACAAUCACCCAGAAACAAUAUGAAGAUGCAUAACGGGUUGUGGUCAACGAUCGUUACCGACACCGCGAGUGCAACAUAAGUAGACGAGUCGGUGUAGAUCGUACUUGAAGUCCCUCGAACGUUGAUGACGAUCCCACAAACCGCCCACGAACGAUCCCUCAAACGGAAGACCAAAAGCACGGCCUCUCUACUUGGUUGCAAGCGUACGAUCUUCACGAUCCGGCAGCGCUUUGCCGUCCAGAACUAAUCAUCGCUGAAGAAUUAUAGGGAGGAGAUUAGAACCACCCAAGGCUUCUAAUUAUGAGGAUUAGAGGUGGCUAGGGCUGAUGAUGGGAAAAUGGCGGGCGUGAAACACACGUCCACGUCAUUGAUACAGAGUGAAAUUUAAAUGCAUAAAACAAAAUAGAAUCAAACAUUGCAGGUCUUUAUUUCCAGAACUCUUACAUUUACAUAAAAAUUCUGUUAAUUACAUCUGCGAAAAGAAAACCCCUGAUUAAGAAUUCCAACAUGCCUAUUGCAAUAUUCUACAAGAGAAAUCCUCCUCGCGGUCGACGAUGAACUCCUUCUUGGUGAACUUGAAGUUUGGUUUCAUGCAAAUACUCCUCCGUGAUUUCAUGUAUAUGAUGUUGGGAAUAUAUUUUCCUAGCAUGCAACAAUUUGUUCGUGUUCAACCUCAUUUAUAUAUAGAAUGGAGAUUGAUUUUGGCUAGGCAUAGAUUUAUCCUACGUUUGGCACAUAGGAUAUGGGUAUGUGUUUUCUUUUAGGAAUUUUGCACGAUAUAUUUGGCUGAUAGCAUGUAUAUAUGUGACAUGCCAAUUUUAAUGAGUUCUGCAUCAUCACAUUACUACUAUCAUUGCGUAGCACUAAUGUGGUGCCCGCGUGUAGCGUAACGGAAUGAAGCUUUCUGACACAAUUUUGAUGCUUUUUAUGGUGCAUAUGAUAUGUGUCAUAUUUUGUUGACUCUGAGUCCAGACAAUAUCAAGCCUGACCUGAGUGGAAUUUGCUUAUGAUAUUUUUGUUUGUUUAAAGCCUAUUUGGGCUACAAGGAAUAUGCCUUAUCAUGUAUUUUGUAUGAAUUUUGUAUGCAUAUGUGGAUGUGGAGUGAACCUUUUUUUAUUAAGUUAUGCUUUACCUGUAUUACUACUAACACUGUGUAGCACUAAGAUAAUGCCCGCGUGCAGCGUAACCAAGCAAAAGUUUGUGGAGCCAUUGUGGUAUUGCGUGAGACAUAUGACAUCUAUCAUUUUGUUUAUGUUUGUACCUUACAUGGUAUUAGCACUAACUCCACAUAGCGUCAUUUCAUUGGCGCUCGUGUGUAGCAUAACCCAAGUGAAGUGAGUUUGUGAUAUCCAUUUGUGAUGAUGCUAAUAGUUUAGGCUCUUAUAGUAUUGGAGCAUUUCAUGACAUAUUUUAUUUGACUUUGGCCAAAAUAUGUGCCCCGAAUGUUUUGUUUAGUUUUCUCUCACUUUUGUUACUACUAAGACCGCGUAGCAUUAAGAUAAUGUCCGCGUGUAACGUAACCAAGUAAGGUUGGUUUUUAUGAUGCAACACGUUUUAUAAUUCAUCUUGCAUAAUUUUGGUUUUUGGGUGUGUAACAUGAACACAUUUUUUAAUUAAGUUGUGCCCAACUCGUAUUACUACUAACACCGCGUGGCAUUAAGAUAAUGCCCGCAUGCAGCGUAACCAAGUGAAGGAAUAUAUUUUUUAUGCUCCUGUUUGUAUUACAACUAGCGUGACACAUAAUGCCCGUAGCGCAACCAAACAGAAGAUUAUCAUGAGUUUAGUUUAGCACAUUCAUAAUUUUAUUCCAACUUAGUAAUAUCCAUUUUUUUAUAAUGACCAAACUAAGGUAAAUAUUUUUAUGAGAUUUUCGUACCUAUGACACUCUCUUGAUUUGUAUCCACGUAUAGAGACCAAACCAAGGAACGCGACGUUCAUCUUGGCUUGUAUUGCUAAGGGGACCGAACGAAGAUGAAGAUUAGUAGGACGAAGCGCAAGCAACAUUUAAAGGAAUCAUGUUUAAAAGAACCAUGCAUGCUCGUUGACUCGUACCGCGAUGGCCGAGCCGAAGGCGAAAGUUUGGGGUAGAUAUAACAUGUUCCUUGGUCUGUAUCGCGAUGGCCGAACUAAGGACACAAAUUUAAGAUGGAUGCAACAUACUCUUUAGUCUGUACCAAAAUGACCAAACCAAGGACAAAGUUUUGAGAUAGAUUAAACCAUGCACCUUAGUCUGUACCACAAUGGCCAGACUAAAGGGAAGAAUUUUGGAAAGAUAAAACAUGCCACUUGAUUCGUACCGCCAUGGCCGAACCAAGGGCUGUAGUUUUAGAAGAGGAGGAAGAAGAAAGCUCCCUGACCUGUACCGCAAUGGCCAAAUCAGGGGCUAGGGGAGAGCCAUGGAUCUCACCUUCAAACCUCAGCAAGCAAGUCGCAUGCGUCCUCCUUCUUUUUCUGUAUAUUAGUUGACCCGUUACGCCAAAUGGCAGAGAGACCUGCUGAAGACAUGUUGUCGAUGAAAAUAGUUUCAUGCUGCAAGAACCUUCAACUAAAUCAUGCUAUUUUUUAAACAUGUUUAUUAGUUGUUAAAUAAUAGUCUGGGAAAAGGGGAACUUUGCAUAAUAUGAAUAUGGUCAGUUUGAAAAUAUGGGCACUAUGGUGAGAGAGUAAAGUUGGCAUGGUUGUAUUUUUUAGCAAGUUUGAAAACAUGGUUAUCAUGAUGAGAAACCUGGUCAUGCAUAUUUUCCUGCAAGAAAAGAGGGAAAAGGAUAAGAAACCUAAAGAAAAAAAAAAC
rnacentral:lncRNA from 1 species